rnacentral:rRNA from 1 species
GAUGAACGCUGGCGGCGUGCCUAAUACAUGCAAGUCGAGCGAACAGAUGAGGAGCUUGCUCCUCUGACGUUAGCGGCGGACGGGUGAGUAACACGUGGAUAACCUACCUAUAAGACUGGGAUAACUUCGGGAAACCGGAGCUAAUACCGGAUAAUAUAUUGAACCGCAUGGUUCAAUAGUGAAAGACGGUUUUGCUGUCACUUAUAGAUGGAUCCGCGCCGCAUUAGCUAGUUGGUAAGGUAACGGCUUACCAAGGCAACGAUGCGUAGCCGACCUGAGAGGGUGAUCGGCCACACUGGAACUGAGACACGGUCCAGACUCCUACGGGAGGCAGCAGCAGGGAAUCUUCCGCAAUGGGCGAAAGCCUGACGGAGCAACGCCGCGUGAGUGAUGAAGGUCUUCGGAUCGUAAAACUCUGUUAUUAGGGAAGAACAAAUGUGUAAGUAACUAUGCACGUCUUGACGGUACCUAAUCAGAAAGCCACGGCUAACUACGUG